rnacentral:rRNA from 1 species
GACGAACGCUGGCGGCGUGCUUAACACAUGCAAGUCGAACGGAAAGGCCCUGCUUGCGGGGUACUCGCGUGGCGAAAGGGGGAGUAAAACGCGGGAGUUCUGCCCUCCACUUCGGGAUAUGACUUGGAAACAGGGGGUAAUACAGGAUAGAAGCGCUCCUGCGUGUGGGGGGUGGUAAGAUUUUUUGGUGUGGGAGGAGUGCGCGGCCUAUCAAUUUGCUGGUGGGGGAAUGGCCUACCAAGGAGGCGUCGGGUAGGCGGCCUGAGAGGGUGGACGGCCACAAUGGGAAUGGGGUACGGCCCAGACUCCCACGGGGGGCAGGAAUGGGGAAAAUUGCACAAUGGGGGCGAGCCUGAAGCAAGGACGCCGCGUGGGGGAUGAAGGGCUUCGGGUUGGAAACUCCUUUCGGUAUGGACGAAGCUGUUUGUGACGGUACCUAGAAAAGAAGCACCGGCUAACUACGUG